rnacentral:rRNA from 1 species
AUGAACGCUAGCUACAGGCUUAACACAUGCAAGUCGAGGGGCAUCAGGAAGAAAGCUUGCUUUCUUUGCUGGCGACCGGCGCACGGGUGAGUAACACGUAUCCAACCUGCCCUUUACUCGGGGAUAGCCUUUCGAAAGAAAGAUUAAUACCCGAUGGCAUAAUGAUUCCGCAUGGUUUCAUUAUUAAAGGAUUCCGGUAAAGGAUGGGGAUGCGUUCCAUUAGGUUGUUGGUGGGGUAACGGCCCACCAAGCCUUCGAUGGAUAGGGGUUCUGAGAGGAAGGUCCCCCACAUUGGAACUGAGACACGGUCCAAACUCCUACGGGAGGCAGCAGUGAGGAAUAUUGGUCAAUGGGCGCUAGCCUGAACCAGCCAAGUAGCGUGAAGGAUGAAGGCUCUAUGGGUCGUAAACUUCUUUUAUAUAAGAAUAAAGUGCAGUAUGUAUACUGUUUUGUAUGUAUUAUAUGAAUAAGGAUCGGCUAACUCCGUGCCAGCAGCCGCGGUAAUACGGAGGAUCCGAGCGUUAUCCGGAUUUAUUGGGUUUAAAGGGAGCGUAGGUGGACUGGUAAGUCAGUUGUGAAAGUUUGCGGCUCAACCGUAAAAUUGCAGUUGAUACUGUCAGUCUUGAGUACAGUAGAGGUGGGCGGAAUUCGUGGUGUAGCGGUGAAAUGCUUAGAUAUCACGAAGAACUCCGAUUGCGAAGGCAGCUCACUGGACUGCAACUGACACUGAUGCUCGAAAGUGUGGGUAUCAAACAGGAUUAGAUACCCUGGUAGUCCACACAGUAAACGAUGAAUACUCGCUGUUUGCGAUAUACAGUAAGCGGCCAAGCGAAAGCAUUAAGUAUUCCACCUGGGGAGUACGCCGGCAACGGUGAAACUCAAAGGAAUUGACGGGGGCCCGCACAAGCGGAGGAACAUGUGGUUUAAUUCGAUGAUACGCGAGGAACCUUACCCGGGCUUAAAUUGCAGUGGAAUGAUGUGGAAACAUGUCAGUGAGCAAUCACCGCUGUGAAGGUGCUGCAUGGUUGUCGUCAGCUCGUGCCGUGAGGUGUCGGCUUAAGUGCCAUAACGAGCGCAACCCUUAUCUUUAGUUACUAACAGGUUAUGCUGAGGACUCUAGAGAGACUGCCGUCGUAAGAUGUGAGGAAGGUGGGGAUGACGUCAAAUCAGCACGGCCCUUACGUCCGGGGCUACACACGUGUUACAAUGGGGGGUACAGAAGGCAGCUAGCGGGUGACCGUAUGCUAAUCCCAAAAUCCUCUCUCAGUUCGGAUCGAAGUCUGCAACCCGACUUCGUGAAGCUGGAUUCGCUAGUAAUCGCGCAUCAGCCACGGCGCGGUGAAUACGUUCCCGGGCCUUGUACACACCGCCCGUCAAGCCAUGGGAGCCGGGGGUACCUGAAGUACGUAACCGCAAGGAUCGUCCUAGGGUAAAACUGGUGACUGGGGCU